rnacentral:rRNA from 1 species
AUGGCGGGCGAGAAGGGGCUGGUGCUGCUGGACUUCUGGGUGAGCCCGUUCGGGCAGCGCGUGCGCAUCGCGCUGGCCGAGAAGGGCCUGCCCUACGAGUACGCGGAGGAGGACCUGAUGGCCGGCAAGAGCGACCGCCUCCUCCGCGCCAACCCGGUGCAUAAGAAGAUCCCGGUGCUCCUCCACGACGGCCGUGCCGUCAACGAGUCCCUCAUCAUCCUCCAGUACCUGGAGGAGGCCUUCCCGGACGCGCCCGCUCUGCUCCCCUCCGACCCCUACGCGCGCGCGCAGGCCCGCUUCUGGGCCGACUACGUCGACAAGAAGGUCUACGACUGCGGCUCCCGCCUCUGGAAGCUCAAGGGCGAGCCGCAGGCGCAGGCGCGCGCCGAGAUGCUGGACAUCCUCAAGACCCUCGACGGCGCGCUCGGGGACAAGCCCUUCUUCGGCGGUGAGAAAUUCGGGUUCGUCGACGCCGCCUUCGCGCCCUUCACCGCCUGGUUCCACAGCUACGAGAGGUACGGCGAGUUCAGCCUGCCGGAGGUGGCGCCCAAGAUCGCCGCGUGGGCCAAGCGCUGCGGCGAGCGGGAGAGCGUCGCCAAGAGCCUCUACUCGCCGGACAAGGUCUACGACUUCAUCGGCCUGCUCAAGAAGAAGUACGGCAUCGAGUAG